CCAACGGCUCUUUUAAGGGCCACCCACGUCUACUCUAAAAGAACUU
rfam:Chlorocebus sabaeus isolate 1994-021 chromosome 17, whole genome shotgun sequence.